GACGAACGCUGGCGGCGUGCCUAAUACAUGCAAGUAGGACGCAGUUGCGAACGGGUGAGUAACGCGACGGUAACUACCUAGUAGAGGGGGAUAACUAUGGGAAACGAUAGCUAAUACCGCAUACUAGUAGAUGGACCUGCGUGGUAUUAGGUAGUAGGUAGGGUAAUAGCCUACCUAGGCAACGGUACAUAGCCGACUUGAGGGGGUUAUCGGCCCACAUGGGACCUAGGCACUGCCCCUGUUCCUCCGGGCGGCAGCAGUUGGGCAUCUUCGGCAAUGGGGGGAACCCUGCCCGAGCAACGCCGGCGGGUGUAAGAAGGUUUUCGGAUCGUAAAGCUCUUUUGUUAAGGAAGCGGUACUUAACCAGAAAGGGACGGCUAACUACGUGCCAGCCGCCGCGGUAAUUC
rnacentral:rRNA from 1 species